AUUGAACGCUGGCGGAAUGCUUUACACAUGCAAGUCGAACGGCAGCACGGACUUCGGUCUGGUGGCGAGUGGCGAACGGGUGAGUAAUGUAUCGGAACGUGCCCAGUCGUGGGGGAUAACGUAGUGAAAAUUACGCUAAUACCGCAUACGAUCUAUGGAUGAAAGCGGGGGAUCGCAAGACCUCGCGCGAUUGGAGCGUCCGAUAUCAGAUUAGGUAGUUGGUGGGGUAAAGGCCCACCAAGCUAACGAUCUGUAGCUGGUCUGAGAGGACGACCAGCCACACUGGAACUGAGACACGGUCCAGACUCCUACGGGAGGCAGCAGUGGGGAAUUUUGGACAAUGGGCGAAAGCCUGACCCAGCCAUUCCGCGUGCAGGAUGAAGGCCCUCGGGUUGUAAACUGCUUUUGUACAGAACGAAAAGGUUUCUACUAAUACUAGGAGCUCAUGACGGUACUGUAAGAAUAAGCACCGGCUAACUACGUGCCAGCCGCCGCCGUAA
rnacentral:rRNA from 1 species